rnacentral:rRNA from 1 species
CCUACGGGUGGCAGCAGUGAGGAAUAUUGGUCAAUGGACGAGAGUCUGAACCAGCCAAGUAGCGUGAAGGAUGACUGCCCUAUGGGUUGUAAACUUCUUUUAUAUGGGAAUAAAAUGUUCCACGUGUGGGAUUUUGUAUGUACCAUAUGAUUCAGGAUCGGCUAACUCCGUGCCAGCAGCCGCGGUAAUACGGAGGAUCCGAGCGUUAUCCGGAUUUAUUGGGUUUAAAGGGAGCGUAGGUGGAUUGUUAAGUCAGUUGUGAAAGUUUGCGGCUCAACCGUAAAAUUGCAGUUGAAACUGGCAGUCUUGAGUACAGUAGAGGUGGGCGGAAUUCGUGGUGUAGCGGUGAAAUGCUUAGAUAUCACGAAGAACUCCGAUUGCGAAGGCAGUUCACUGGACUGCAACUGACACUGAGGCUCGAAAGUGUGGGUAUCAAACAGGAUUAGAUACCCCUGUAGUC